GGUCGCGGCCGCGAGGCUGAGGAAAGUCCGGACUCCACAGGGCGGAGGAUCCGCUUGUCAAGGGCGGAAGGCGCGGGGAAAUCCCGCGCGAUGGAAAGUGCCACAGAGAACAGGUAGCCCGCACGGGUGAUAGUGAAAGGGUGAGGUAAGAGCUCACCGGCGCGGCUGAAACGACGCGCGCAGGGCAAACCCUCCUCGGAGCAAGAUCAAAUAGGGAAUCGACGGGCUGCCCGUCCGGCGGGGCCGCAAGGCCCCUUGAGAUUCCGGGUUGAUUGCUGAGAUGAAUGAUCGGACCCUCCUUCGUCCGCAAGGGUGUCGGAGGGGAACAGAAUCUGGCUUAUUCGCCG
rnacentral:RNase_P_RNA from 1 species